AGAGUUUGAUCCUGGCUCAGGACGAACGCUGGCGGCGUGCCUAACACAUGCAAGUCGAGCGGUCCUUAUCAUCAUAGCUUGCUAAGUUGAUAAGGAUAGCGGCGAACGGGUGAGUAACACGUGGGUAACCUGUCCAAAAGAUCGGGAUAACAGUUCGAAAGGGCUGCUAAUACCGAAUGUGCUUAUCGGAUCGCAUGGUCUGGUAAGGAAAGGUUGGAAACUUCCGCUUUUGGAUGGGCCCGCGCCCCAUUAGCUAGUUGGUAGGGUAACGGCCUACCAAGGCAACGAUGGGUAGCUGGUCUGAGGGGAUGGUCAGCCACACUGGGACUGAGACACGGCCCAGACUCCUACGGGAGGCAGCAGUGGGGAAUCUUGCGCAAUGGGCGAAAGCCUGACGCAGCGACGCCGCGUGAGCGAUGAAGGCCUUCGGGUCGUAAAGCUCUGUCAGAGGGGAAGAUAAUGACGGUACCCUCAGAGGAAGCCCCGGCUAACUACGUGCCAGCCGCCACGGUAAUUC
rnacentral:rRNA from 1 species